GGGCUUUGACCAAACGAGGACCAGACAUCUGUUCAGUGGCAGAAGGUCAAAAGGCUGUCACGUAUGACACUGUGGUCUUCAAGAAAGCAAAAAAACAUGAACCAAACCAGGUUUCAAUUAGCCACUCUCCUGAACAAUUUGAAGUGAUCUACAGCACUCUAAACCUUCACCAAUAACACAUUAUCUCUGGCCAUUGAAAUUCUGAAUAUUACAAUCUGCAGUAAUGGCAUCUUCGCCUGUUUUACAUCAUGCAGUUUCUUUUAAAGCUGCAAAGGACGCCACGAGACAGAAAAAGAGGAACCUUCAGAACACAUUUUAGAGUUUAAGUGUUGCAUGUGGGUCAUGGUUCACCAGAUUAUUAUUUUGCUAUUAAGAUUUUUGCCACAUCUUUAAAAGUGUCACCUAUUUUUUGUUAAGUGGUAAAAGUUCUUCUGCUGUUCUACUUUUAUUCUUAGUCAAUGUGAGAAGCAAAACUGAAACAUCUUUGCCACAUGACAGAAUGACACAAUGAGUUCAGGUCAGCUUUUAGGUCAAUGAUUAGUUAGACCACUUCAGAGAAACCUGAAAAAAUAUGCUCAUUUUAAAUCUAAUUACUUAGUAUUUGUUUUUGCAUAAAUAACUGUUCUGUUUUGUGUUUUGAGCUACUUAAUACCUUAGCAUUAUUAUUGUUGAUUGUGUAAGAUUUAGUUGUAAAACUGUCAUUUGUAGUUUAGAAAAUAUUUAAUGGCUUUUCCAGUGAAUGUAUUAUAAAUGUUAUUACAUUAAAAAAAAUCUA